GAUGAACGCUGGCGGCGUGCCUAAUACAUGCAAGUCGAGCGAACGGACGAGAAGCUUGCUUCUCUGAUGUUAGCGGCGGACGGGUGAGUAACACGUGGAUAACCUACCUAUAAGACUGGGAUAACUUCGGGAAACCGGAGCUAAUACCGGAUAAUAUUUUGAACCGCAUGGUUCAAAAGUGAAAGACGGUCUUGCUGUCACUUAUAGAUGGAUCCGCGCUGCAUUAGCUAGUUGGUAAGGUAACGGCUUACCAAGGCAACGAUGCAUAGCCGACCUGAGAGGGUGAUCGGCCACACUGGAACUGAGACACGGUCCAGACUCCUACGGGAGGCAGCAGUAGGGAAUCUUCCGCAAUGGGCGAAAGCCUGACGGAGCAACGCCGCGUGAGUGAUGAAGGUCUUCGGAUCGUAAAACUCUGUUAUUAGGGAAGAACAUAUGUGUAAGUAACUGUGCACAUCUUGACGGUACCUAAUCAGAAAGCCACGGCUAACUACGUGCCAGCAGCCGCGGUAAUACGUAGGUGGCAAGCGUUAUCCGGAAUUAUUGGGCGUAAAGCGCGCGUAGGCGGUUUUUUAAGUCUGAUGUGAAAGCCCACGGCUCAACCGUGGAGGGUCAUUGGAAACUGGAAAACUUGAGUGCAGAAGAGGAAAGUGGAAUUCCAUGUGUAGCGGUGAAAUGCGCAGAGAUAUGGAGGAACACCAGUGGCGAAGGCGACUUUCUGGUCUGUAACUGACGCUGAUGUGCGAAAGCGUGGGGAUCAAACAGGAUUAGAUACCCUGGUAGUCCACGCCGUAAACGAUGAGUGCUAAGUGUUAGGGGGUUUCCGCCCCUUAGUGCUGCAGCUAACGCAUUAAGCACUCCGCCUGGGGAGUACGACCGCAAGGUUGAAACUCAAAGGAAUUGACGGGGACCCGCACAAGCGGUGGAGCAUGUGGUUUAAUUCGAAGCAACGCGAAGAACCUUACCAAAUCUUGACAUCCUUUGACAACUCUAGAGAUAGAGCCUUCCCCUUCGGGGGACAAAGUGACAGGUGGUGCAUGGUUGUCGUCAGCUCGUGUCGUGAGAUGUUGGGUUAAGUCCCGCAACGAGCGCAACCCUUAAGCUUAGUUGCCAUCAUUAAGUUGGGCACUCUAAGUUGACUGCCGGUGACAAACCGGAGGAAGGUGGGGAUGGCGUCAAAUCACCAUGCCCCUUAUGAUUUGGGCUACACACGUGCUACAAUGGACAAUACAAAGGGCAGCGAAACCGCGAGGUCAAGCAAAUCCCAUAAAGUUGUUCUCAGUUCGGAUUGUAGUCUGCAACUCGACUACAUGAAGCUGGAAUCGCUAGUAAUCGUAGAUCAGCAUGCUACGGUGAAUACGUUCCCGGGUCU
rnacentral:rRNA from 1 species